rnacentral:rRNA from 1 species
AAUGAACGCUGGCGGCAGGCCUAAUACAUGCAAGUCUAAAGGGCAGCAAUGUCCUUGGCGCACGGGUGCGUGACACGUAUGCAACCUGCCCUCAACUGGGGGAUAACCUUCCGAAAGGGAGGAUAAUACCGCAUGACACAGAGUCCCUGCAUGGGGGUUUUGUCAAAGCUACGGCGGUUGAGGAUGGGCAUGCGGACGAUUAGCUAGUUGGCGGGGUAACGGCCCACCAAGGCUACGAUCGUUAGGGGAACGGAGAGGUUGGUCCCCCACACUGGCACUGAGAUACGGGCCAGACUCCUACGGGAGGCAGCAGUAGGGAAUAUUGGUCAAUGGGCGGAAGCCUGAACCAGCCAUGCCGCGUGCAGGAAGAAGGCCCUCUGGGUUGUAAACUGCUUUUGACGGGGAACAAGUCGGCCAUGCGUGGCUAAGUGAGUGUACCCGUAGAAUAAGCCACGGCUAACUACGUGCCAGCCGCCGCAGUAA